rnacentral:lncRNA from 1 species
GUAGCUUUUAGUAGAUAUUACAUGUCAACUAUAUUUUAAAAAUUAUGUCUGUAUAUAAAGCUGUUAAUGCUUAUCUUGAGAAAUCCAUUUGUAAAAUGGCAAACUUAUGGUCUAACGGGAAUUCCACUAGAUUUUAAUGUAAUGAUAUGAAACUUUCAUGAAACUAUUCAACUAACUGCUACCAAUGAAAGCUCUUUUUUGUUUUUGGGCCGGAGUCUCGUUCUGUUGCCCAGGCUGGAGUGCAGUGGUGCAAUCUCGGAUGACGCCAACCUCCACCUCCCAGGUUCAAGCAAUUCUCCUGCCUCAGGAGGGGAAAGGUUGCAGUGAGCUGAGAUCGUGCCGUUGCACUCCAGCCUGGAUAACAAGAGCGAAACUCCGUCUUCCAAACAACAACAUCAACAACAGCAGCAACAAAAGAAUGAGUAGGGAGCAACACAUGCAAAAUAGUAGUAACUUUCUUAAGAUACUGUGGCUAGUAACUCCUUCCUGUCCCCCUUUCCAUCUCUGUAAACAUUUCCUUAUCACACGAAAUUCAAUGCAAGAUUUUUUUAGGCAGGAUUAAUAUUUUAUUCAAUCAGUAUUGGUGAAAUGGUCUACUCUUGGGUGCCUUAGACCCUGAUGCUUACUCUUUGGAAGUAAUUGCACAUAAAGGCAUUUCCUUCCAACUUAAGCAAGUUUAAUUUUUGUCAUGUGUUUUGGGCCAUAAACUUUCUCUUCUAUGAGCUUCUGCAGCUCAGUUGUUAUUGCCUUUCCCAUUUCCUCCUGAUUUUAAAAACAGAAAUGCUUAAACUUCUAAAUCUAGCCAUACUAUAGACACGGACAACAGUGGCACUAAUUCCUUCAAUACCUGUGGCAUGAGAAAAAACAAUUAUAAAAUCUCCUGGUUUUCUCUAGAGCCAGGAUAACAACAGGGAACAAUAUAUUUCUUUUUUCCUUUGUAAGGGUUCCUUUAUUUCUUAAAUGUUUUUAAACAUUUAAAAAUAGAUAAUGUAUACAAAAGUACAUGAAGGACAGGUAGAACAGCCAUGAUGGAGCCCCACACUUGAGCAAUUUGAAAAAUUGGGGAAAAAAAUAUCUAAAUAUCUAUUUGAAGACAUUAGAAAGCUGUGGUGGCAGCCAUAACUUGAGAGACCAAUAACUAGAGAGACCAAGAUCCAAGAGAAGUGAGCUGGACGCUUGGCCAGUGUUCUUCUCUCAAGGCAUUUGUCAACCCAGCCACACAGGAUGCUAUGAAAGCAAGCAAAAACUGACUGAAAUCACAGAGGGCUGGUAUUGAGGAGCCAAGAACUGGAAUAUAAGACCAGCAAUAGGAGGGGUGCCACAAUCCAUAUCCCAGGCAAGAGGGCUGUAACACAAGAAUGGGGGAAAAUAAGAAAUCACUGUCUUAUAAAAUCUGUAGAUCAGCCUCAGUUCUGCUCAAGUUCUGAAUAGAUUGAAAUAUUGUAUUGUAUCUCUAUUGCCAUGUAAUAAUUUACCCCAAAACAUAAUGGCCUAAAAAUCCAAACAUUCAUUAUCUCAGUUCCUGUGGGUAAAUAAGUAGGAAGUCGUGUAGUUCAGGAGUUCUACCUCACGUUUUCUCAUGAGGUUGCAGUCAGGAUGUUGGCAGGUGCUGUAGUCACCAAAGGUCUGACCAGGGCUGGGGGUCAGAGCCUAAAACGGCUUGUUCACAUAGCUAUUAGCAGGAUGCCUCACCAUGUAGAGCUCUGCAUAGAUUGCUUGAUGUUCUUAUGACAUGACAGUUAACUUGCUCCAGAGCAAGUCAUCUAAGGGAAAGCAAGGAAGCUAAUGUCUUUUAUGACCUACAAAAAUAAUGUCACUUGUGCCAUAUUCUAUUCAUUAGAAGUGAGUCACUAAGUAUAGUCCAAGAUGGAAAUUAGGCUUCACAUUUUAAAGGAGGGGUAUCGAAAAUUUGUGGACAUAUUUAAAAUCCAUCACAGGUGCUGUGUCUCUCUGCUGCUUUCCAGAGUACAGAGUGAAUCUAGUCUGGUGGAAGACAUCAUUUAGAGCCUUUACAGUUUCCAAUAUACAAUAUCCAGUAAUCAAACACAAAAUUAGCAACUGUCCUAACAAAUAGGACAAAGAUGUAAAACAGCAAACACAAAUAGAGUUCAAAGUGACCCAGAUAGGAGAGUCAUCAGAAAUAGAUCUGAAAAUCUUAGUGACUAAAAUGUACAACGCUUGGAUGGCAAGGUAAAGAAUUUCACCAAAGAACAUGAAUUUGUAAAAAAUAACCAAGAACUGAAAAAUAUACAAAUUGAAAUUAAGAAUACAUGGGUUUAAUAGCUACUUGGAUCCAAUAAAAGAAAGGAUUAAUAAGCUGGAACACAACACAGGUUAGUUGAAAAUAUCCAGACAAAAGUAUCUAGAGCAAAACAGAUGGAGUAUAUAGAAAAGCACAUAAUUAGAAACCAGUAAGACAGAAGACAUAGAAUGCUCCAGAAGCAAUAUCUGAAGCAAUAAUGUCAAGAAUUUUCCCAAGAUAAUGAAAGGUAUCAAGCCAUAGAUUCAAGAAGGGCCACAAGCCCCCAUCAGUAUAAAUUUAA